rnacentral:rRNA from 1 species
GAUCAUGGCUCAGAUUGAACGCUGGCGGCAGGCUUAACACAUGCAAGUCGAGCGGGGAAAGGUAGCUUGCUACUGGACCUAGCGGCGGACGGGUGAGUAAUGCUUAGGAAUCUGCCUAUUAGUGGGGGACAACAUUCCGAAAGGAAUGCUAAUACCGCAUACGUCCUACGGGAGAAAGCAGGGGACCUUCGGGCCUUGCGCUAAUAGAUGAGCCUAAGUCGGAUUAGCUAGUUGGUGGGGUAAAGGCCUACCAAGGCGACGAUCUGUAGCGGGUCUGAGAGGAUGAUCCGCCACACUGGGACUGAGACACGGCCCAGACUCCUACGGGAGGCAGCAGUGGGGAAUAUUGGACAAUGGGGGGAACCCUGAUCCAGCCAUGCCGCGUGUGUGAAGAAGGCCUUAUGGUUGUAAAGCACUUUAAGCGAGGAGGAGGCUACUAGUAUUAAUACUACUGGAU